rnacentral:rRNA from 1 species
GCGAGCGUUGUCCGGAAUUACUGGGCGUAAAGAGCUCGUAGGUGGUUUGUCGCGUUGUUCGUGAAAUCUCACGGCUUAACUGUGAGCGUGCGGGCGAUACGGGCAGACUUGAGUACUGCAGGGGAGACUGGAAUUCCUGGUGUAGCGGUGGAAUGCGCAGAUAUCAGGAGGAACACCGGUGGCGAAGGCGGGUCUCUGGGCAGUAACUGACGCUGAGGAGCGAAAGCGUGGGGAGCGAACAGGAUUAGAUACCCUGGUAGUCCACGCCGUAAACGGUGGGUACUAGGUGUGGGUUUCCUUCCUUGGGAUCCGUGCCGUAGCUAACGCAUUAAGUACCCCGCCUGGGGAGUACGGCCGCAAGGCUAAAACUCAAAGAAAUUGACGGGGGCCCGCACAAGCGGCGGAGCAUGUGGAUUAAUUCGAUGCAACGCGAAGAACCUUACCUGGGUUUGACAUGCACAGGACGCCGGCAGAGAUGUCGGUUCCCUUGUGGCCUGUGUGCAGGUGGUGCAUGGCUGUCGUCAGCUCGUGUCGUGAGAUGUUGGGUUAAGUCCCGCAACGAGCGCAACCCUUGUCUCAUGUUGCCAGCGGGUAAUGCCGGGGACUCGUGAGAGACUGCCGGGGUCAACUCGGAGGAAGGUGGGGAUGACGUCAAGUCAUCAUGCCCCUUAUGUCCAGGGCUUCACACAUGCUACAAUGGCCGGUACAAAGGGCUGCGAUGCCGCGAGGUUAAGCGAAUCCUUUUAAAGCCGGUCUCAGUUCGGAUCGGGGUCUGCAACUCGACCCCGUGAAGUCGGAGUCGCUAGUAA